UACAGAUGAGAAAGCUGAGACUCAGGGCCAGCAACCCGGGUCCCAGCGGAGCGCCCGGCACGCGCCAACACUUCAGCACCAGUCGCGGUGGCCACCACUGUGCGCGGAGAUGGCUGCGACGCGUGCGCAGAUCUCGAUCCCAAACUCCCUCCUACCAGAAUCUGGACCCGAAUCCACCCAUUGUCCGUUUUCCGCUGCCGCUGGAGAGAAUCUCUGAGGUCCCCAGGAGAGCCUGCCUGCACGGAAGAGACGCCUCCUCGGUAUGGCCGCCCCCGGAGAGGAGCGAUUAAGUGCAGACCUCCAUGUUGCUCUUGAGCCUGAGCGGCUAUUAAAUGCUGUUUUCCAUGACCGUCUCUGUUCUUCCCAUACGCGAAUGGCAGGCAUUCAGAUCUCCAAGAAUAGAGGAUUAGGAGAGACUCCACCACCUAUGUCCUCACAGUUAAU
rnacentral:lncRNA from 10 species